UAUAUAUAUAUAUAUAUAUAUUUAUAUGUACUUAAGAAUUAAGAUUUAAAGGAGAAAGAGGAAAUAAAUGAGGAUAUAUAUACAUGCAACAACGUCAACAUCAUUUUUAACAAAAAAAAGCACAACGCCAACAUCUAGCUAACUCUCCUCUUAGUGUAUUACUUUCAUGAUUCGUCAGCAGUUUUGUUUUUAUCUGAUUUUCGUCUAUCAAAAUGUAAUAAAGUUCUAAUUGCAAUAUGGAUGAUUGCACAGACAUUUUAGCUUAGCCGGCAUUCCGUCAUCCUCUCCUCAAAGAUCAUAAUGUUUUUGGUUUUAUGAAUACGCAUAUAAUACAGGAAAGUCAAAGAAUCUUCCUAAUCUAGCCAAAAAAUGGAGAUGAACUUACCUGACAGACGUGGCUUUGUAUAGGAUUGACAUGUCUCGAAGCAACUAUUGCGAUACGGAGGGAGGUUUCUCACGAGAACGGGACUACAAAUUCUGGGGCUGGACCAGAAUCACCCAUGGACACAAGUAUCCGACUAUAUUUUUUCCAUUUUACUAAAGUAUAUGAAUUGAACCAAUUCAUCAUUCUGAAUUACUCUCUAUGUCACGAUGGUAUUCUAAACUUGAAAGUGCAUAUUUUUCUUGUUAUUUCUAAAAUACCAAAAUAAUAAAU
rnacentral:sRNA from 1 species